UUUUUUUAAUCAAGAUGGAAAACAGCCAGUUUCGUAGCUUUUGCACUUUAGAUUUUUGUUUACGUCAUAUAUUUCAUUUCAUAUAUUCCAUUUUUAAAGGUAAUGGUAUACAUGAUUUCUUUGAUGACCUCCCUUAUGGUGCUAAAAAACUUUUUAUCACAAUAUUUGUAGCUAUAUGUAAUUUCCAGUUGGGAUGUAACAUAUAAAUAAUGAACGAUAAUGUCAAUGACCACUCUCCUCCGCAGAGCCUUACGAAUUUUUAGUAAAAUUACGUAAUAUUACUUGGGAAACAAAUUACGCAAUAUUUAGUCAAAACGCGCUAGGUAUGAUGGGAAGACGUCAACCAUCGGUCUCACCCCCCGUCGCGGACCACUAAAUGUCCUCUACUAUCCCUACAUUAUCCCUACAAUCCUAUAUAAUUGACUCUGUGGAGGAGAGUGGUCGAUGCUGUAGUCCAUUUACGUUUUCCGAAUCCGCAAUUUUUUGUCAAAAGGAAUAACUUUAAUGAACUAUAUAUAUUGGAAAAGCUAACAUUCAUUAACUAAAUAAUCUACAACAGUAAACGGCGUACGUUCAUUAACUAAAAUCUAAAUAAUCUACAACAGUACUAGUAUAUUUGUUGUAUCACCGAUUAGACAUUACAACAGACAUUCCAACUCUCCCGACCCCGAAAAUUCAUACAAUCUCCUGGUCUCCCGAUUUUUAUUAAAUUAUCCCGAUUUUUCAGAAUAUUCAGGAAAUAUCGUAAAAAAAACAUAAACAUACUGUUUUUAGCACCAUAAUAGUCUGUCUUGACCUUUUUAUGAAGUUACUUUAUGGCAAUUUAUAGGAUCACUUAUAACAACAUAUUCCCAAAAUGCAGGAAACGCCAUUUCAGAAGACUUAAUUUUUAAAUUUUUUCCGCAGAAGAACAAGAUUUCAAUUCACUGAACAGUCUGCCUAAAUUUUACCUCUAGUAGUUGGAAUGUCUGUUACAAUUAACAAUUAAUAUAUCUCCAACGCAAAUUUGUCGUUGUGGAAUCAGUGGUAUAAUUUGGCUAAACGACUGCAAAGUAUUCGCAAGCCGGAGGACAUUUUACCAAAAGGCAUUGCGUAUAUUAUGUAGCUAUACUAAUGAUAUAAUGUUAUACGAUUAGUCCAAGUUUGAGUUCAGAUAUAGUUGCCAAUACUUCGCCUGCGAGCAGGCUCUAUGGUUAUAGUGAUUGGUUGAAAAUUUUAAUCAAUAAACAAAAUAUAAUUUUUCAAACUAUAAUAUUACAGUGUUUGCUCCGACGAUGACCCAGGUUUAGGGAUCGAAAGCUUUGCAAUUAAUAAAGAUACGCGACAUUUUCCACAAACCAAAACAAUACGCCAUUAAAAAAUUACAAUAGCCUUAGAACGAUGCUUGGUAGUAAGUUGUAAUGUUUCCUUGAAGGGACCUAACGUUCAAACGGACCUAACAAUGUUGGGCCAACACCGUCCAAUAAUUUUCAAAUAAUAUUUUAUACUGUUUCUUUCACAAAGUAUUUUAAAGCACAAAUUUUCAAUUUGGAUAAAUCUUAUUGGUAUAUAGCUAGGGUGAAAUCAUAGAAAUAAUAGAUAUGGCAUGCGUACUCCUAUCUUUUCUCAGUUCAAAAUUUGUCUCCACGAAAUGGUGGAUUUAUAAGGUCAUUUUGUUUGGUCCCAGACUCCGGAGGCAAGGAAUUUCGCGCGGUUGCAGGGAGUGCGAAUUUGUUUUUUUUUUCGGCCCAACUGCAAAGUUUGCAAUAAAAUUUUAUCAAGACUUAAAAUGGUAAAAGGUUUUGAAAAAGCCAUUCCAGUGGGUUUUUUACGAAAAGCAAUAGUUCUGAAAAGAAUAUGCAGCUUUUUCAAUUAAGGU
rnacentral:lncRNA from 1 species